rnacentral:rRNA from 1 species
UACGUAGGGGGGCUAGCGUUGUCCGGAAUCAUUGGGCGUAAAGCGCGUGUAGGCGGUCCGGUAAGUCCGCUGUGAAAGUCGGGGGGCUCAACCCUCGAAUGCCGGUGGAUACUGUCGGGCUAGAGUGCGGAAGAGGCGAGUGGAAUUCCUGGUGUAGCGGUGAAAUGCGCAGAUAUCAGGAAGAACACCAAUGGCGAAGGCAGCUCUCUGGGACGGUACUGACGCUGAGACGCGAAAGCGUGGGGGAGCGAACAGG